rnacentral:rRNA from 1 species
UCGACCUGAGAGCAAGCGAGAUUACCCGCCGAAUUUAAGCAUAUUAAUAAGCGGAGGAAAAGAAAACAACAGUGAUUCCCUUAGUAAUGGCGAAUGAAACGGGAAUAGCCCAUCGCCGAAUCGCAGGCCCUCUCGGUCUCGCGAAAUGUGGCGUUUGGGAGAGUCUUCUCGUGGUGUGGACGGCCAGUCAAAGUCCAACUUGACAGUGGCCAUGGCCCGUAGAGGGUGAUAGGCCUGUAAGGCGGCUGUCCUGCUGCGCUGACUUUUCCCUAGAGUCGGGUUGCUUGGGAGUGCAGCCCAAAGUGCGAGGUAAACUCCUCGUAAGGCUAAAUAUGACCCCGAGACCGAUAGCAAACAAGUACCGUGAGGGAAGAUUGAAAAGAACUUUGAAGAGAGAGUUCAAGAGUACGUGAAACUGUGUGGUGGUAAACGGAGGGGCUCUCGAAGUUUCUGAGGGGGACUCAACCUUGGUGGUGGUCGGCCAGGGCGUAUCUGAUCAGCAAUGACUCUGCGCUUUGUCCCGUCUGCCUCCCGGACGCACUUUCUCCUCAGUUUACGGCAGGAACUGUUUGAAGCGAACCUAAGGUCUGUGGUGAAGUUGUCGGUUAUGCUGGCAGCCCGCAGUGUCCUGGCUUUGCGUCAGACRGGUAUGUAAGUGGACUCGUAUAGCGAGCAAUCGACU